UCUGAGUGCACUCCCCGCCCCGGGUGACCCAAGGAGAGAAGCUGAGGGCCCUACAAGUAGAGCUGUUACCCAGGGGUCUGCGUCCCGCCUCAGGGUGCUGCCGAGGAACCCAUGCGGGGAGCAGGGGAAGCAGCCCGCAGGGUGUGCUGGGGCCCAGCAGCUGUGCCUGGGGCUAACCCUGGACAGCACACGACAUCCAGGGUCCCAGCAGGCUGCUGAAGCCAUCUCCCUGCUCGGAACCCUCUACCCUUCGGAGCUCCCUGCUUCCCCCAGCUUGGCCGGCAGGUGAUGGCAGGAACUUCCGGGACCUUCUUGUGAUAAGGCUCGCACCAGAAAUCAAAAGGUCUUGCCUGGCUGUGAAAGACGCUUCACCACCGGGCCCAGCCUCCCCCGCCUCUGAAGGACCAGACCCCAGGAAACCCAGGAGGAGGGAGCGAGGCCAGGCGGUUUCGGUUUCUCACGAGCCCAGCUCAGAGGCAUCAGCAGCUCCUGCAGGCUGGAGGUUUGCACCUGGCUCAGCGAGGCCUGUGCCCCGCCACCCCCGCGGCAUGCACACCGUGAAGCACGGUAUGCUCAGGCCCACCUCAGCCCCAGGGCCGCUGGAUUCUGACGACCUGAAAAGAAGUCCCUUUGGCCGGCAGCGCACAGGCUUCUGCGCAGGGCCGUGUGAGUCAGGCGGGUCUUCGCUUGGCAUCCGCGUCCAAGUGAGCGAUUUUGAAGGGCUGCGCUCCCCCCAGGGGCCCCCCAGCUAAGACUGCAGGACGGAUCCAAUGUUUCUGGAAAGUUCUGAGUUUGUCUCACCUUCUCUGUCUAUUUCUCUCUGUUCCUCUCUCUCAAAAAUCAAGCCUGGCAAAGCUCGCAGAAUAAAAUCGUUUAUUUCCACAAAAU
rnacentral:lncRNA from 1 species